GGAGAUUUAGCUCAGUGGUGGAGCGCUUGCCUAGCAAGCGCAAGGCCCUGGGUUCGGUCCCCAGCUCCG
rnacentral:tRNA from 1 species